AUUGAACGCUGGCGGCAGGCCUAACACAUGCAAGUCGAACGAGUGGCGGACGGGUGAGUAAUGUCUGGGAAACUGCCUGAUGGAGGGGGAUAACUACUGGAAACGGUAGCUAAUACCGCAUACCAUCGGAUGUGCCCAGAUGGGAUUAGCUAGUAGGUGGGGUAAAGGCUCACCUAGGCGACGAUCCCUAGCUGGUCUGAGAGGAUGACCAGCCACACUGGAACUGAGACACGGUCCAGACUCCUACGGGAGGCAGCAGUGGGGAAUAUUGCACAAUGGGCGCAAGCCUGAUGCAGCCAUGCCGCGUGUAUGAAGAAGGCCCUAGGGUUGUAAAGUACUUUCAGUCGGGAGGCGUUACCGACAGAAGAAGCACCGGCUAACUCCGUGCCAGCAGCCGCGGUAAUAC
rnacentral:rRNA from 1 species